CUCGGCCAAGCCAAACUGUCCGAAGCCGCCGGAAGCGCAGGCGCAGGGCUGGGCCGGGUUCGCGGACGCACUUCCGCCGCCGGCAGGUCUGGGGCUCCGAGGAGCUGGAUGUUCCUGAAGAGCCAAAGGGCUCUUUGAAGUAACCAAUAAAAAAGGGCCUGCUGUGGGUCGGAGAUCUGGCACAAAAGAGAUCAGCCCAAACAACCAGGAGUUAUUCUGCCAGCGCUUCCAACAUUUCUGCUACAAGGAGACUCCUGGGCCCCAUAAGGCCUUGAGCCAGCUCUGGGUGUUCUGCUGUGAGUGGUUAAGGCCUGAGAUACACACCAAGGAGCAGAUGUUGGACUUGCUGUGCUGGAGCAGUUCCUGACCAUCCUGCCUGAGGAGCUCCAGGACUGGGUACAGGAGCCUCAACCAGAGAGUGGGGAGGAGGCGGUAGCUAUGCUGGAAGAUCUGGAGAGGGAGCUGGAUGAAUCAGGCCAACAGGUUUCAACCCACGCCUGUGCACAGGAAGUGCUUUCUGAGACAUCGGUACCUCUGGAUCCAGCUAAGAAAGCAACAUAUCUCCAGCCUCAGCCCAUGGAGAUCCAGCUUAAGGGUGAAUCUCAGGACCCUCUACACCAACAGGAUUGUGAUGAUGUGAUACUAAUUGAGAAAGAAGAAUUGGUUCAAAAGCAGGAGCUUCCUGUAGAUAUGGAAUCCUAAGAAAAGUUAUCAGACCAAAUCAAUGGAGAGACUCUUGAAUGUGGAGAAACCCAAGAACAUGAAGGAUGGACAGAAAGAUAUCAGAGAAACACUUCAAAUGACAGAAGAUAUAAAUGUGAUGAAUGUGGAAAAAGAUUCACUCAAAACUCAAGCCUCAUUAGACAUAAAAGAAUCCACACUGGAGAGAGACCCUGUUCAUGUAAAGUAUGUGGCAAAACUUUCAUUCAGAGCUCACAACUUACUGACCAUCAGAGAAUACAUAGCCAAUUAAAACCGUAUCAGGGCUUCCCUGGUGGCGCAGUGGUUGCGCGUCCGCCUGCCGAUGCAGGGGAACCGGGUUCGCGCCCCGGUCUGGGAGGAUCCCGCGUGCCG
rnacentral:lncRNA from 1 species